rnacentral:rRNA from 1 species
GGUUGAUCCUGCCAGUAGUCAUAUGCUUGUCUAAAAGAUUAAGCCAUGCAUGUCUAAGUAUAAGCACUUCUUAUUACUGUAAAACUGCGGACGGCUCAUUAAAUCAGUUAUAAUUUACAUGAUCUUAUAUUUCACAUGGACAACCGUGGGAAUUCUAGAGCUAAUACAUGAUUCAUAACCCAGGACCUUCUUUUGAAGGAAAUGGUGAAUUUAUUAGAUUAACCAACGUGGGGUAUUAAACAGUGGAGAACUUGUGUCUUCACUGGCCUCAGUCCCUUCUGGGAUACUUUUGGUGAUUCAAAAUAACUAAUCGAAUCGCAGAGAUGAUUUAUCAUCGGCGAUGUAUCAUACAAAUUUCUGCCCUAUUAAGUUUCGCUGGUUGUGUAGUGGACAACCAGGCUGAUAAUGGGUAACGGGGGAUUAGGGUUCGAUUCCGGAGAGGGAGCCUGAGAAAUGGCUACCACUUCCAAGGAAGGCAGCAGACGCGCAAAUUACCCAAUCCUAAUUCAGGGAGGUAGUGACAAGAAAUACCAAUACAAUGCCAAUGGUGUUGUGUUUGGAAUGAGAGUAACCUAAAACGUUACUCGAGGAACAAUUGGAGGGCAAGUCUGGUGCCAGCAGCCGCGGUAAUUCCAGCUCCAAUAGUGUAUAUUAAAGUUGUUGCAGUUAAAAAGCUCGUAGUUGGAUGUCGGUUACUUUGAAGAUUGUCCACACUUUAAGUGUGCCUACAUAAUUCAAGUACCUUCUUUCAGGUAGUAUCUUGUAUACUCCUGAUUAUUUACUUUGAGAAAAUUUGAGUGUUCAAAGCAGGCGUAAUCUUGCCUUUGAAAAUAUUAGCAUGGGAUAAUGAAAUAAGACUUUUUGCCUUAUUCUCGUUGGUUCUUUGGGCUUAAGUAAUGAUUAAUAGAGACAGUUGGGGUAAUCUGUAUUUGAUCGCCAGAGGUGAAAUUCUAAGACUGAUCAAAGACAAACUAGUGCGAAAGCAUUUUACAAGGAUGUUUUCAUUAAUCAAGAACGAAAGUUGGGGGAUCGAAGAUGAUCAGAUACCGUCGUAGUCCCAACCAUAAACUAUGUCGACCAAGGAUUCGAGAUCGUUACAUGAAUGACCUCUCGGGCACUUAUAGAGAAAUCAUAAGUAUUUGGAUUCCGGGGGGAGUAUGGUCGCAAGGCUGAAACUUAAAGGAAUUGACGGAAGGGCACCACAAGGAGUGGAAUAUGCGGUUUAAUUUGACACAACACGGGAAAGCUUACCAGGUCCAGACACAAGGAGGA